UCUCGCAUGGUUCACGGGAGGACACACGCGUUUCUGUUGGUGAUUGGGGAGCCUGCCUUUGUUCCCACAUUGUAAGGAACUGCCUGAUUUUCUCUGAAAUAUGGAGU
ensembl:miRNA Mir6378 microRNA 6378